UACAGAGGGUGCAAGCGUUGAUCGGAUUUACUGGGCGUAAAGCGCACGCAGGCGGUCUGGCAAGUCGGAUGUGAAAUCCCCGGGCUCAACCUGGAAACUGCAUCAGAAACUGGCAUGCUAGAGUCUUGUAGAGGGGGGUAGAGUUCCAGGUGUAGCGGUGAAAUGCGUAGAGAUCUGGAGGAAUACCGGUGGCGAAGGCGGCCCCCUGGACAAAGACUGACGCUCAGGUGCGAAAGCGUGGGGAGCAAACAGG
rnacentral:misc_RNA from 1 species